CCACCUUUCCUGGAAAUAAACAAGAUUCGUGUGUUCGUAUUUAUGCUUCGUGAGAGGUCACUUGAAGUGUAAAUGGCCACGAAUAACCUUUUUUACGUUGUUGUUUACACACAUGUCGAACAAAAUACACACAUGUCGAACAAAAUAAGUGUGGUACUGUCUGUACACUAGGACCAAGAACCUAUUGACCACCCUGGCUGUUGUCAUAAAUUAUAUAGCUUACAUCUGAAUUCAGAAAGGUCUCAGAAAAUACAGAUUGCAGGUUCUGUAUUAUGAAUAGAAUGGCCUGUAGCUCACAAGAAGUAAGGUCAGCUUCAACUUCCGUUGGUGACCAUCAUUUAAGCUCCGUCCACCUGCCAGUGCUCGCAUUACCGUGUUUUUAUUAGUUGCACUUUUCACUAGAAACGUGUUCAGAACUAAUUUAACCGUUUAUAAAAAAACACGUGUGUUUUUGGCGUUAUUCAGCAGAAACACACCCUAUGAGUUUAUUAAUAGAUCCAUGCUAUGAGGCUAAAGUUUAUUGUAGCUUCCUUGAUGUACUGUAUGUAGUGUGUCUCGGGGUGCCAAGCUGACAGCUUAAGAAAGCUAUUGUUAGAGCAAUGUGUUAUUUUUGCCUGUCUCAAUGAAUCUUCUAAUGCAUUAUUUUUUUAUAGAGUGCUACAGUGUUACGUCACGAUACCACGUGAUACUACUCUGUUGCUAUUGGCAACACAAAAUGAGUUCAACUGAACGCCAUUUUUCCCACUGACAAACCAUUGAUCCCAAUUUCUAACGUAUUCAUUAAGAUGUUGUAUCUCAGUUUUUCUUUGUAAAUUUUAAUUGUUGAUUAAAUGUGUGUUCGAUAACUUAUAUAAUGCAAGCUUUUGUGUUUUUAGUACAUUUUGAUGGUAAAUUACUAGGUUUUAAAAUGCCUAUUUUUAGAAAGCCUAUUUUAAACCAUUAAGAUUAUGAAGACAUUCAGGUGUAAUGAAUGGUAAUCAACGUCUGGUUGACAACAAAGGGCGCCACCUGGUGUUGUGACGACACAACUGUUGUACUCUAUAUUUCUCUGUUCAGCCAAAAUAUGGCCAAAUUUGACAUAAUUUUGUAUCACAUACAGUAUUAAUCAUCAAUGAAUAAAUAGUUUAAUUACCAUUACUUUUAAAAAUGUUUACAUGUCAUAUAAACAUAUAAUGUUCAUAAUAUACCAUCAUAAAUGUAAAUUAGUAUUUUUUUAAAUAAUGGUAUAAUGAAUACUUAUGUUCAAUACGUAUCUUGUUACAUUUGUGUUUAGAAUGUAAAUGAAUUAUGCACUGGUAAGCCAUCAAUUGCAAAUUGAAUUCAGAAUGUUACAAUAAUUAUUCUAGCCUAAAGGUAAAUUUGAUCCCCUCUUUAGAUUUCCACAUUAUGUUACACUGCUAACAAUCAGCUACAAAAACCCAAGUUGUAUAGGCCUACUAAUAUUAUGAUGUAUAAUAAAGCUUCUAAUAUCUGCA